rnacentral:rRNA from 1 species
GCAGUCGACGACUCUGGUAUUGAUUGGUGCUUGCAUCAUGAUUUACAUUUGAGUGAGUGGCGAACUGGUGAGUAACACGUGGGAAACCUGCCCAGAAGCGGGGGAUAACACCUGGAAACAGAUGCUAAUACCGCAUAACAACUUGGACCGCAUGGUCCGAGUUUGAAAGAUGGCUUCGGCUAUCACUUUUGGAUGGUCCCGCGGCGUAUUAGCUAGAUGGUGGGGUAACGGCUCACCAUGGCAAUGAUAC